GUACAGCAACAGCUGAAUUGUUGAACAAAAGGAUUGAACGCAUGUUGACGCAUGCAGGGAUUCAUCUGGAUCGUGUCACUCUUGUGGUAGAUGUAUGUGACCUAUGCAAAAGGGAAUAUGGACUGCCUGCUUCUGUCUCUCCAGCUGCCAAAGAGCUAGAGGAAGAGUUCUGCAGCAACCCUCAGCCUCCAGAUUAGAAGGAUUAUCGGCAGAACAGGCAGGGAUCCGUGCAGUUAGACUGUCCUCAACUAUAUGGUUACUCUCAUCUUUCCAGAGAAUAACAGGCAGCAGAGCGUGAGCUGAAGCUGAGGUAAGAAAUAUCCAAAAUGAGGAGCAUAAUGGUCA
rnacentral:lncRNA from 1 species